rnacentral:rRNA from 1 species
UACGGGGGGUGCGAGCGUUGUCCGGAAUCACUGGGCGUAAAGGGCGCGUAGGUGGCGUCGUAAGUCUGUGGUGAAAACCCGGGGCUCAACCCCGGGACUGCCUUGGAUACGGGAAGACUUGAGGAUCGGAGAGGCAAGGGGAAUUCCACGUGUAGCGGUGAAAUGCGUAGAGAUGUGGAGGAACACCUGUGGCGAAGGCGCCUUGCUGGCCGAUUUCUGACGCUGAGGCGCGAAAGCGUGGGGAGCGAUCCGG